rnacentral:misc_RNA from 1 species
AUGAUAUAUCUUCGCGAACCUCAUUCAUUACAUAAGCAGCCACCCAUAUUCCAAUGGAAGCUGAAGAGACAAGAAUUCCUCUCCAAAGGUCUUUGAGUUCAUGAAAUCUGAAUUCCACAUGAUGCACAGCCCCAGCAAAAGCAAUCAAAGCUACAACAUAUAAUGCAUGAAGGCCCAUAACAAUGAUGAUCCACAGCGUCCCCAUGUGGCACCGGUCGUUCAGAGGCUUUUUUAUCUGCAGCAAGAGCUAUCCAUGGCAAGAGAAUCAGCAGAAGAAAAAUAUAGGAUCUAAGUGGUGGCAGACGUCUCUUCACAAAUAUAUAAUAAAGUUGGAAUAUCUGUGUAAUACGGCAGCUCAACAGCAAACCAAAUCCGAGUGGACCUUCAAUCCAGACUGCCCAAAGAUAGCAUGACCUCCACCAAUGUCUCUUUCUGAACUUCAGAAAAUUGAGAGCCAUCACUAUCGACAACAAUAGAUUUAAGCUUGCAAUAACUUGAAUUGCCACUAGCCAAAAGCUACUGCCUUUGGACCUAGGAAUCUUGUGAAUCAUGUAAGGUAAUGUCACUUUCAAUAGAAGUAAGAUCAUGGACAGUAGAGCAGCUGAAAGCGCUACAUAGUCACUUGGGCACCCUCCUUUGCUAGAACAAG